rnacentral:rRNA from 1 species
AUGGAGUCGGCGCAGAAGAAGAAGGUUGGAUCCAUGGAGGUGGAGAUGCCUGGUGUGGUUCCUGUGAGCGCGACGGUGGCCGCUCUUCCGGCCGCUGUCAGAUUUGUCAGCCUUUGGGCGCUCGUCACCCCCUUCGUCUUGUUCCUCGUCUUCGGCGUUUGGGCGCUCCUCACCUCCGCACUGUCUAUGUUCUUUCCGCAGAAGGACGCGGAGGCGAGCGCCCUGGACGUCGGGAUCGUGUGCUGCGCCGCGCUCCAGGCGGCCGCGGCGGUGCUGGCUGUGCGGCUCCCGUGCCGCCGCGUCUGGGUCCGCUACGCCUUGGCCUACCUCGCCCUCGCGCUCACCAUCGCCGGCCACUUUAUGUACUUCGCCCAAGCAGACUGCUUCUCCAGAAUCACCUGCACCGUCGGCAUGUACGAGUACGCUGCGGGCGAUAUCAUCUGCUUCCUGGCCCUCCUCCUUGGCCCCCUCCUGGAAGCAUGCCAAGAUCGAGUACGUUGCCGAUUAGCUCAGCUAAGCUAG